rnacentral:lncRNA from 1 species
GAGAAUCCCUUCUUAGCCUUUUAGCUAAGAUCAAGUGAAGAACUAAAACAAGAGCCAGGAAUGGUGGUGCAUGCCUAUAAUCCCAUCAUUUAGGAGGAUGAAGCAGGAGGAUUGCCAUGAAUUCCAGGAUGAUGGCGCACGUUUCUGCUGUGAACCUCAACUGUUGGGAACAUCAGAGAUGCAGCCUAGGACCUGCUGAGCAAACGUCACAGAUCAGGCUCACAGGAUCCCAUAGGGCCAGCCUCCUGCACACCAGGCCCACUCCCGGCCACACACAGCACAACUUGCUACUGAGACGGACCACAGUAACGUCACCACACAAUCCGUACGGCUACACACAGAAAAGGUACAGAAAAAUCCUGUGUAAAAAGGAAGCACCACAUGCCACGAGGUAAGGAGGGGUCGGGCAGCUGACUUUGGUGGAAAGCCAAGAUCCAGUCGAGGAGCAACUGGGCAGAUCAGAGGGGCACCAGGGAGGUGGGAUAAGCUCUCACUGAGGGCACCUUCCAGAGCGGGGAGCUUUCCAGCGACAGCAGGGUUUGCUUUAGUGGAAUGAUCAGUUUGACUUGCUGAGGAAUACACCCCAGGCCUUUGUACAGCUCUGGCACUUUCUUUUAUCUAUUUUGAGACAGGGUCUCACUGAGUACCUAAGUAGCCCAGGCUGGGUUCAACCCUGUGAUCUUUCUGCCUUAGCCUCCCAGAGCACUGUGGUGCUUUAAAACUUUUUCCUUUUGCCUCAGAAGCUGAAUUUCUGUACCCUGCACCCAAGAAUCCUGGGCGAUUCCCAAGUGGAACUCUCCUGAUUCAUCACCUACAAAGAAAGCAACUAUUUUUUUAAGGCAGGGUCUCACUAUGUAGCCCAGCUGGCCUCAAACUCAGUGAUCCUCUUGCCUCAGCCUCCUGAGUGCUGAGAUUACAGGCAUGCACCUCAUGCACAGGUCCCUGGACCUUUGAGAUAGCUUCACUAAAUCAGCAAAGGUGACCACAAACUUGAAAUCCUUCUGC